rnacentral:rRNA from 1 species
GAAUCUACCAUAUAGUAAGGGAUAACAGUUGGAAACGACUGCUAAUACCAUAUACGCCCUUAGGGGGAAAGAUUUAUCGCUAUAUGAUGAGCCCGCGUAAGAUUAGCUAGUUGGUGAGGUAAUGGCUCACCAAGGCUACGAUCUUUAGCUGGUCUGAGAGGAUGAUCAGCCACACUGGAACUGAGACACGGUCCAGACUCCUACGGGAGGCAGCAGUGGGGAAUAUUGGACAAUGGGCGCAAGCCUGAUCCAGCCAUGCCGCGUGAAUGAUGAAGGCCUUAGGGUUGUAAAGUUCUUUCGCUAUCGAGGAUAAUGACUGUAGAUAGAUAAGAAGCCCCGGCUAACUUCGUGCCAGCAGCCGCGGUAAUACGAAGGGGGCUAGCGUUGUUCGGAAUCACUGGGCGUAAAGCGCGCGUAGGCGGCUAUUCAAGUCAGAGGUGAAAUCCCAGAGCUCAACUUUGGAACUGCCUUUGAAACUGUAUAGCUGGAGUGUUGGAGGGGAUAGCGGAAUUCCUAGUGUAGAGGUGAAAUUCGUAGAUACUAGGAGGAACACCGGUGGCGAAGGCGGCUAUCUGGACAACAACUGACGCUGAGGCGCGAAAGCGUGGGUAUCAAACAGGAUUAGAUACCCUGGUAGUCCACGCUGUAAACGAUGAGUGCUAGCUGUCGGGCCCUUAGGGUUCGGUGGCGCUGCUAACGCAUUAAGCACUCCGCCUGGGGAGUAUGGUCGCAAGAUUAAAACUCAAAGGAAUUGACGGGGACCCGCACAAGCGGUGGAGCAUGUGGUUUAAUUCGAGGGCACGCGAAGAACCUUACCAGCCCUUGACAUACCGGUCGC